CCCGCGGGGCUCCUCGGAGAAGGGGAGGCGGCAGGGCCGGCCCCAGCCGGGCUCCCGCGGCCGGGGUGGGGAGGAGGAGAGGCCGCGCAGUGCGGGUUCAUUCAUGUAGCAGACAUUUAUUGGGUGACUGUCUGCAGUACUGUAAAAGGUUGCAAAGGAAAUGGAAGAUCUGGUCCCUGCAGGUCAGGAUUUUACAAUCUAAUUAGGAACACAAGGCAUAUCUAUACAUGAAAGAGCUAGAAGAUAAUCUCCAGGUAUUAUAUAAGCAAGAGAAUGGAAAAGUCUGGGACGUUUUUUUCAUAGGGGGAGGGACUUGGUACCUGUAACAUUGGUGGGGAUCACUAGAGGAAAAUCGAGGUCAAAUCAGUGGAAGACAGCCUGUGUGUAUCCCCACUCUGGGGAACAAUGGGGGACAACAGGGACCCGAGUGUCACUUGGCUGCAGUGUCUGCUCUGCCAGUUACAAACUGUGGGACCUUGGGCAUGUUUUUAGCCACUCAGAAGGGGAUAAAGCUUGUCUCAUGAGAUUGUUGUGUGAUGCAAAUGAAAUUACACAUGUAAAGCUUUUCAAGCUGCUGGGUAAAUGUUCCUGGAUCAUGUACAUCUAAGAAGUCCUCAUGUUCCAAACUGACCUCAUGUUAACCUUCGUUGUAAUCCCCGCUAGACUGUAAGCUCCGCGAGGGCAGGGACCAGGUCUGUUGUGCUCACCAUGUACCACCAUGUCUAGCAGAGUGUCUGGCACUUGUGGGUGCUCAAUAAAGAUUUGCUGAAUAAGGGAAUAAAUGAGCAAA